rnacentral:rRNA from 1 species
UGGGGAAUUUUGGACAAUGGGCGAAAGCCUGAUCCAGCAAUGCCGCGUGUGUGAGGAAGGCCUUCGGGUUGUAAAGCACUUUUGUCCGGAAAGAAAUGGCUCUGGUUAAUACCUGGGGUCGAUGACGGUACCGGAAGAAUAAGGACCGGCUAACUACGUGCCAGCAGCCGCGGUAAUACGUAGGGUCCAAGCGUUAAUCGGAAUUACUGGGCGUAAAGCGUGCGCAGGCGGUUGUGCAAGACCGAUGUGAAAUCCCCGAGCUUAACUUGGGAAUUGCAUUGGUGACUGCACGGCUAGAGUGUGUCAGAGGGGGGUAGAAUUCCACGUGUAGCAGUGAAAUGCGUAGAGAUGUGGAGGAAUACCGAUGGCGAAGGCAGCCCCCUGGGAUAACACUGACGCUCAUGCACGAAAGCGUGGGGAGCAAACAGG